AUGCAUCUCCGCCGCCUCCCCCCGCUCCUCCUCCUCCUCGCCCUCCUCGUCCGCCUCUCCGCCGGCGGCGCGGCGGACGGCGACGCGGACGCGCUGCUGGCGGCCAAGGCGGCGCUGUCGGACCCCACGGGCGCGCUCGCGUCCUGGGCGGCGAGCAACGGGACGGGCGGCGGCGGCGGGUACGCGCACUGCGCGUGGGCGGGCGUGGCGUGCGGCGCGCGCGGGGCCGUCGUGGGGCUGGCCCUCGGCGGGCUCAACCUCUCCGGCGCGCUCCCGCCGGCGCUGUCCAGCCUGCGCGGCCUCCUCCGCCUCGACGUCGGCGCCAACGCGCUCUCGGGCCCCGUCCCGGCCGCGCUCGGCCACCUCCGCUUCCUCACCCACCUCAACCUCUCCAACAACGCCUUCAACGGCUCCCUCCCGCCGGCCCUCGCGCGCCUCCGCGGCCUCCGCGUGCUCGACCUCUACAACAACAACCUCACCAGCCCGCUCCCGCUCGAGGUCGCGCAGAUGCCCAUGCUCCGCCACCUGCACCUCGGCGGCAACUUCUUCUCCGGCGAGAUUCCCCCCGAGUACGGCCGGUGGACGCGGCUGCAGUACCUCGCGCUCUCCGGCAACGAGCUGUCCGGGAGGAUACCGCCGGAGCUCGGGAACCUUACCAGCCUCAGGGAGCUCUACAUUGGCUACUACAACGCCUACUCCGGUGGGGUCCCGCCGGAGCUCGGCAACCUCACCGACCUCGUGCGCCUCGACGCCGCCAACUGCGGCCUCUCCGGGAAGAUCCCGCCCGAGCUCGGCAGGCUGCAGAAACUCGACACCCUGUUCCUGCAGGUGAACGGCCUCACCGGCGCCAUACCGUCGGAGCUGGGCAACCUGCAGAGCCUCAGCUCCUUGGACCUGUCCAACAAUGCGCUCGCCGGCGAGAUACCGCCCAGCUUCUCCCAGCUCAAGAACAUGACGCUGCUCAACCUGUUCCGGAACAAGCUGCGCGGCGACAUCCCCGACUUCGUCGGCGACCUGCCAAGCCUCGAGGUGCUGCAGCUCUGGGAGAACAACUUCACCGGCAGCGUGCCCCGCCGCCUCGGCGCCAACAAGCGCCUCCAGCUGGUCGACCUCUCCUCCAACAGGCUCACCGGCACGCUGCCGCCGGACCUCUGCGCCGGGGGCAAGCUGCACACGCUCAUCGCCCUCGGCAACUCCUUGUUCGGCUCCAUCCCUGACUCCCUCGGCCAGUGCAAGUCCUUGAGCCGUAUUCGUCUGGGAGAGAACUACUUGAACGGCUCCAUUCCCAAGGGGCUCUUCGAGUUGCAGAAGCUCACUCAGGUCGAGCUGCAAGACAACCUCCUCACCGGCGACUUCCCUGCUGUGGUCGGCGCUGCGGCGCCUAAUCUGGGGGAGAUCAACCUGUCCAACAAUCAGCUCACCGGUGCAUUGCCGGCAUCCAUUGGAAACUUCUCUGGUGUUCAGAAGCUGCUGCUUGAUCGCAACUCGUUCUCCGGCGCGUUGCCUGCCGAGGUUGGGCGGCUGCAGGAGCUCUCCAAGGCUGACCUUAGCGGCAAUGCGAUCGAGGGAGGUGUGCCGCCGGAGAUUGGGAAAUGCCGGCUGCUCACUUACUUGGACUUGAGCCGGAACAACCUCUCUGGGAGGAUACCUCCGGCCAUCUCUGGAAUGAGGAUACUGAACUACCUCAACUUGUCCAAGAACCACCUUGAUGGAGAGAUACCUCCAUCCAUCUCCACAAUGCAGAGCUUGACGGCGGUCGACUUCUCUUACAACAACUUGUCCGGGCUCGUCCCAGGGACCGGCCAGUUCAGCUACUUCAAUGCCACAUCUUUCGUUGGCAAUCCAAACCUGUGUGGACCAUACCUUGGUCCAUGCCGCCCUGGCAUUGCUGAUGCUGGUCACACCAACCAUGGCCAUGGAGGGCUGUCUAGCACCAUCAAGCUGCUCAUUGUGCUAGGCUUGCUUCUGUGCUCCAUUAUAUUUGCUACCGCGGCAAUUCUGAAGGCGCGGUCGUUGAAGAAAGCCAGUGAUGCACGGAUGUGGAAACUCACUGCAUUCCAGCGCCUUGAUUUCACCUGUGAUGAUGUGCUGGACUCCCUGAAAGAGGAGAACAUUAUUGGCAAAGGCGGGGCUGGAACUGUGUACAAGGGAUCAAUGCCCAAUGGUGAUCAUGUGGCCGUGAAGAGGCUCUCUGCAAUGGUCCGUGGCUCAUCACAUGAUCAUGGAUUCUCAGCGGAGAUACAAACACUUGGGAGGAUUCGGCAUCGCCAUAUUGUGCGCCUGCUAGGCUUCUGCUCAAACAAUGAGACCAACCUGCUGGUGUAUGAGUAUAUGCCCAAUGGUAGUCUCGGGGAGCUUCUCCAUGGCAAGAAGGGCGAACACCUGCACUGGGAUACUCGGUACAAGAUUGCAAUUGAAGCUGCCAAGGGGCUGUGCUACCUGCACCAUGAUUGUUCACCGCUGAUACUUCACCGUGAUGUCAAGUCGAACAAUAUACUUCUUGACUCUGACUUUGAAGCUCAUGUGGCCGACUUUGGGCUGGCGAAAUUCUUGCAGGACACCGGCGCAUCAGAAUGCAUGUCCGCCAUUGCUGGUUCAUAUGGCUACAUUGCUCCAGAAUAUGCAUACACCCUCAAGGUCGACGAGAAGAGCGAUGUCUACAGCUUCGGAGUGGUGCUUCUUGAGCUCGUGACCGGGCGGAAACCUGUAGGGGAGUUCGGGGACGGCGUCGACAUUGUCCAGUGGGUCAAGAUGAUGACAGGGCCAAACAAGGAGCAAGUGAUGAAGAUCCUGGACCCGAGGCUGUCGACCGUGCCGGUGCACGAGGUGAUGCACGUCUUCUACGUCGCAUUGCUGUGCACGGAGGAGCACAGCGUGCAGCGCCCGACGAUGCGGGAGGUCGUGCAGAUCCUCAGUGAGCUCCCAAAGCCAGCUGCCAAUCAAGGUGAUGAAGAAGAGCUUCCCCUCUCCGGCGAAGGUCCUGAGUCCAACCCUCCUGCCCCAACCAGUUCCACCGAAGCUCCGACCGGCAAGCCGAAAGAUCAGCAGCCGCAGCAGCAGCACACGAGCUCGGAGUCGUCGCCUCCUCCUGAUCUCAUCAGCAUCUGA
rnacentral:rRNA from 1 species